rnacentral:rRNA from 1 species
GACGAACGCUGGCGGCGUGCUUAACACAUGCAAGUCGAACGCUGAAGCCCUUUCGGGGGUGGAUGAGUGGCGAACGGGUGAGUAACACGUGGGUAAUCUGCCCUGCACUCUGGGAUAAGCCUUGGAAACGGGGUCUAAUACCGGAUAGGACACAUCGCCGCAUGGUGUGUGUGUGGAAAGUUCCGGCGGUGCAGGUUGAGCCCGCGGCCUAUCAGCUUGUUGGUGGGGUGAUGGCCUACCAAGGCGACGACGGGGAGCCGGCCUGGGAGGGUGCCCGGCAGACUGGGACGGAGACACGGCCCAGACUCCUGCGGGGGGCAGCAGUGGGGAAUCUUGCGCAAUGGGCGAAAGCCUGACGCAGCAACGCCGCGUGGGGGAUGACGGCCUUCGGGUUGUAAACCUCUUUCGACCGGGACGAAGGGUGACUGACGGUACCGGUAGAAGAAGCACCGGCUAACUACGUGCCAGCAGCCGCCGUAA